rnacentral:misc_RNA from 1 species
UUCCUUGAAUCUACAAGUGGCUUAUUUUGUCUAGUGAGAAAUUUGUAUAAUAUUUGGGUAGAAUGUGAUGAUGAUUAGAAACAGCAGAUGGUUUGUUUUCUGUAGCACGUGUACAUGGCUAACUACUGCUACUCAUCUUAGUUUCAGUAACAUUGUUGUUGAUUUUCUCCUUGCAGAUUGAGGAUUCUUUGGUGUUAUACAAAAGGUAAUCUGUAAUCAGAGUUCUUGAAGUGAUAGAUAACAAUAUUGCUUCAUCAGAAAUAGUUCUUCCAAGGCCAUUUACUCAUUUGCAUAUAUGCCACUUUCUAGUCUCUAGUAUCACACUGUAUUUGGGAUCUUGGCCUCUCUGUGGAUAUCCUGUGUCAUUUAUCUUGUGGAUC